GAUUGAAGGCUGAAAUUACGCCUACAUGAAGCUGGAAUUGCUAGUAAUGGCAGGUCAGCAUACUGCCGUGAAUACGUUCCCGGGCCUUGUACACACCGCCCGUCACACCAUGAGAGUUGGGGAUACCCGAAGCCUGUGAGCCAACUGUAAAGAGGCAGCAGUCGAAGGUAGAAUCAAUGAUUGGGGUGAAGUCGUAACAAGGUAAC
rnacentral:rRNA from 1 species